rnacentral:rRNA from 1 species
GAUGAACGCUGGCGGCGUGCCUAAUACAUGCAAGUCGAGCGAACAGACGAGGAGCUUGCUCCUCUGACGUUAGCGGCGGACGGGUGAGUAACACGUGGAUAACCUACCUAUAAGACUGGGAUAACUUCGGGAAACCGGAGCUAAUACCGGAUAACAUGUUGAACCGCAUGGUUCAACAGUGAAAGACGGUCUUGCUGUCACUUAUAGAUGGAUCCGCGCCGCAUUAGCUAGUUGGUGAGGUAACGGCUUACCAAGGCAACGAUGCGUAGCCGACCUGAGAGGGUGAUCGGCCACACUGGAACUGAGACACGGUCCAGACUCCUACGGGAGGCAGCAGUAGGGAAUCUUCCGCAAUGGGCGAAAGCCUGACGGAGCAACGCCGCGUGAGUGAAGAAGGUCUUCGGAUCGUAAAACUCUGUUAUUAGGGAAGAACAAAUGUGUAAGUAACUAUGCACGUCUUGACGGUACCUAAUCAGAAAGCCACGGCUAACUACGUG